GGCGGGAUGGUGUAGUGGACUAUCAUUGGCCGUUUGGGACGGCCAGACCCCGGUUCAAAUCCGGGUCCUGCCA
rfam:Nanohaloarchaea archaeon SG9, complete genome.